AAAUGUAAAGAAAAAGACAAAAUGACCUUGUCCUAUAGACAACAACCGAGGCGGCGGGGGCAGACAGCUGAGGCCGGCGGGAUAAGAAUAGUUGAUAAGGUCGCGGCCGGCAGCUUAGAGGCAGCCGAGGUCCUUUUUGCCGCAGCUGGUGUUCGCGCGCCCUGGGUCCUUUCUGGUCCUAUGCUAACAGCUGCUGCCGUCGGAUCUCUCAAGAAAACCGUGGGAACCCCAGACACCUAUAAGGCGACGUUCGCACACCGUCCAAAACAAAGGGAUUGUGUAUUCACACAAAACAUUUAAGUUGAGAAAUUUUAUAAAAGCAGUAGCCCGGCAAAGCAAAUGUAAUACAGACUUACAUACUGUACAAACGCACCCUGCACGGUCGUCAGGUGGUGGCGCAGGCAGCAGGUUUCACCGGCUAUACAUGUACAUAUUAUACACCGACCGCCGCCGAGAUUCAUCAAAUCCAGACCGCAAUCAGACGCUCAUAAUAUUGUUUUAAACACAAUACGUUUCAGUGGCAACCAUCGUUAUUCUCCAUCGUUUGUCUCGAUCCUGUUGUGCUAUUGUUAAUAAGUAUAUCUAACCUGUAAUAGUACCAAU